rnacentral:rRNA from 1 species
GCCNUUAACCGGAUUAGAUACCCUGGUAGUCCAUGCCGUAAACGAUGAGUGCUAGGUGUUGGAGGGUUUCCGUCCUUCAGUGCCGCAGCUAACGCAUUAAGCACUCCCGCCUGGGGAGUACGACCGCAAGGUUGAAACUCAAAGGAAUUGACGGGGGCCCGCACAAGCGGUGGAGCAUGUGGUUUAAUUCGAAGCUACGCGAAGAACCUUACCAGGUCUUGACAUCUUGCGCUAACCUAAGAGAUUAGGCGUUCCCUUCGGGGACGCAAUGACAGGUGGUGCAUGGUUGUCGUCAGCUCGUGUCGUGAGAUGUUGGGUUAAGUCCCGCAACGAGCGCAACCCUUAUUGUUAGUUGCCAGCAUUUAGUUGGGCACUCUAGCAAGACUGCCGGUGACAAACCGGAGGAAGGUGGGGAUGACGUCAAAUCAUCAUGCCCCUUAUGACCUGGGCUACACACGUGCUACAAUGGACGGUACAACGAGUCGCGAAACCGCGAGGUCAAGCUAAUCUCUUAAAGCCGUUCUCAGUUCGGAUUGUAGGCUGCAACUCGCCUACAUGAAGUUGGAAUCGCUAGUAAUCGUGGAUCAGCAUGCCACGGUGAAUACGUUCCCGGGCCUUGUACACACCGCCCGUCACACCAUGAGAGUUUGUAACACCCAAAGCNGGUGAGGUAACCUUCGGGGACCAGCCGU